CAGUCGCCGCGGUAAUACGAAGGGUGCAAGCGUUACUCGGAUUUACUGGGCGUAAAGCGUGCGUAGGCGGCUUCUUAAGUCGGAUGUGAAAUCCCUGAGCUUAACUUAGGAAUUGCAUUCGAUACUGGGAAGCUAGAGUAUGGGAGAGGAUGGUAGAAUUCCAGGUGUAGCGGUGAAAUGCGUAGAGAUCUGGAGGAAUACCGAUGGCGAAGGCAGCCAUCUGGCCUAAUACUGACGCUGAGGUACGAAAGCAUGGGGAGCAAACAGGAUUAGAUACCCCGGUAGUCCCUGUCUCUUAUAC
rnacentral:rRNA from 1 species